UACGUAGGGAGCAAGCGUUGUCCGGAAUUACUGGGUGUAAAGGGAGCGUAGGCGGGAUGGCAAGUUGGGUGUUAAAUCUACCGGCUCAACUGGUAGUCGCACUCAAAACUGCUAUUCUUGAGUGAAGUAGAGGCAGGCGAAAUUCCUAGUGUAGCGGUGAAAUGCGUAGAUAUUAGGAGGAACACCAGUGGCGAAGGCGGCCAACUGGGCUUUAGCUGACGCUGAGGCUCGAAAGUGUGGGGAGCAAACAGG
rnacentral:rRNA from 1 species